GGAGCCCUGAGAUGUGCGUGUAUUACCGAUAGUUUUGAGCCAACACCUUAUCACCGGGAGCCUGGAUGUCAAUCAUGAGCGCGAACGCCUGUAAAGGACUCGUUAACAUGGUUGCAGGGCACCCACCUGCCGCGCGCAGGUUCAAAACUGAGGAGCCACGGCAUAAUGGGGCUGCU
rnacentral:other from 1 species